CCGUCGUCAGUUCGUACUGUGAAGCAUCCUGUUAAGUCAGGCAACGAGCGAGACCCACGCCAACAGUUGCCAGCUCGUCCUCCGGGAUGGUGGGGACACUGUUGGGACCGCCUCUGCUAAAGAGGAGGAAGGAAUGGGCAACGGUAGGUCAGCAUGCCCCGAAUUAUCUGGGCUACACGCGGGCUACAAUGGGUGGGACAAUGGGUAUCGACACCGAAAGGUGAAGGCAAUCUCCUAAACCCAUCCGUAGUUCGGAUUGUGGGCUGCAACUCGCCCACAUGAAGCUGGAAUCUGUAGUAAUCGUGUCUCAAAAUGGCACGGUGAAUAUGUCCCUGCUCCUU
rnacentral:rRNA from 1 species